rnacentral:hammerhead_ribozyme from 1 species
AUUCAACUGAUGAGUCUUAAAUAGGAUGAAACUUGCGUCCUGUAU